UAUUUUUUAUUUUCACUCUAAAACCUAAAACAACUCUCACGUUCCCUCUCAUCUCCGAUCUCUCGAUCUCCCGUACCUCUCAUCUCUUCGUUCUGACGUUCUUCACCGCCAUCUCCGCCAUCAAAUUUUUUGAUCAAGACAAAGCAACUGUUCUCUCAUUCUAUCAUCUUUCGAUCUCUACGUGCCUCGCAUCAAGGUUUCUUCACUCUGAUUUCACAUCGCAGUUCCUCACCGCCAUCUCUGCCAUCUCCAUCAUCAAAUUUUCACAUCAAGACGAAGCAACUUUUCGCUCAAGUUACCGUUCAUUGACUGUGGGAAAAUAUUUGGGCGUGACACCGUUCAAGAUCACACACAGUGCAUUACAGAAACGACCACCUGAAGAUGAAGAAAAUAUCAACCAAGAAAUCUUCUACAUAGGGACAUGUAGUUACACCUGCAGCUCAUUAUCAAUCUCGUCUA